AAAAACAAACCCUCUUCUCCUUGCAGACUGCAGACAUUUGGUCCACCUCUUCUCCUGCAGAUGCCUGCAGAUGUGGUCCGCAGACUGCAGACAUUUUCCCACAGAAAAAACAAACAUCACCUAAGUUGAAUAGGCAAUAAGUCCAAGAGUAAAAAAGCAGCCGAAAGACGCGGCUAAGGGAACAUAUCAAGUCACUAACAGUAGUCUGCCAAUCGCGGGGAAAAAAGACCAAAAACCGAUUGCACCUGAUGGGCCUGUAGAGUCAGAACCAACAAAUAAGGGGUCUCUAGAUGGAUUAAAUGAUUAAAUUAAUUGGCCCAUGACAAAUUCAUAUUGACGAUCUUAUACAGUGGCUGAACAUCAUUUUAUUAUUCACACACCUGCAAGUUCCGAUCUACCGUCAAAACCCUAACUCACGUAAUGGCGACGGAAGAACCCGAUUGUUGCUACGGAGCCUGCUGCGGUGUAAGAACUUCCUCCGGCUGAAACGGAGGCUAAGGAUACGAAAGUGAAGAAGACGAAGAAAGCUUCUGCUCCAUGAAAACCUAAAAAACCUGCUCUGCAUCAUCCGUACUUUGAGUUGUAUGGUGUGAGCCGAGUUUCAACUGAAAGCUUGUGUUUCUUGGCAUAUCUUUACUCAUUAGUAUCUCAACUCUCAAGGAACAAGUUUCAAAUAACAUUGCUGAUCUUUCCAUUCAGGUCAUAACAAAUGAGUCUUUUUUGGCUGCACAGGCAGCGUGGGUGGCCCAACUGUCAACCUUUUCAGUCAAAAUUGGAACAAGUGGCGAGCAUAGGGUUCGUGAUACUCAAGGACAUUAUCACACACAAGUUAAGGAAUAUCAAUCCCAGCUCAUAAGCUGAGUUUCGUAACUUGGAUAGCAAACAUUGAAGCAAUUUAAAAGUUAGGUCUCGAAAUGUCAAUUAUUGCAAUUCAACAAGAACCAAUCAGACAUAGACAAGUAAGCAGCGAAUGAACACAGGAGGGAGCCAACGAGCCGACACAUAAAUAAUCAAGAAGUACAAAGAGGCCCACACCAAACCCAACCAACGCUGAGCACCUGUCUAACGUGGCUGGGAUAGAGGCUGACAAAUACGACCUUCAGCUAACAAGGUGCUAGUGGUGCUACGUCAAAAGCAACUUCUGUCUCGGUUAGUAUGGUGCUGUCAGAUCUUUAUCUCGUUUUUGAUGGUGCCAGCACCACCAGGACCCAGGACACUUAGACUAAAGGGUAUGGGGGCCGGCUAGGCCCGGCUAGGACCGGCGCCGGUCCCCCACACCGCCCCCUGAGGGUCGGCUCGGCCCAAACGGCUCCCCACAGCCGAAUGAGACGAAGCACCUUUCACAAUUUUCAAAAAACUACCGUUGAUCAAUGGCUAAUUUAAAAAAAAAAAAAUUCCAUUUUUCUUUAAAAACUCACUUAUUUUCACCAUUUUUCCCCACUUUCAACCCAAAACCCUCUCAUUUUUAUACCAUUUUCUCUCCACUUUUAUAAAAAAAAAAAUUACCUUUUCAUCCACAAUGCCAUCUAAUUCUUGGUGGUCCUCGUCUUCGGAUGAGUAAGAGGAGAUGUUUUUCGCAAACGCUGUGUUACGGGCGGCGGAGAUUCUUAUCGAGGAGGAAGAGGAAGACGAAGAGGAAGAAGUCUCGUCUGAAAGCGUUAUUACCAGGCGGAUACGGGUUAACAGAGACCGCCAAGGAGCGCACGAGAAAUUGGUGAACGAUUAUUUUUCGGAUGCACCCCUUUACAAUGCCGGGAUAUUCAGACGCAGAUUCCGAAUGAGUCGUCGUCGGUUAUUCACACGGAUUGAUGAUGAUUUGGCGGGGCUAGACCCGUUUUUCACGCAACGACCCGAUGCUCGAAAUUAUGAAGGGUUCACCACGUUACAAAAGUGUAUUGCGGCCAUUUGCCAACUGGCGUACGGGACAGUGGCCGACGCUUUGGACGAGUACUUACAAAUGUCGGCAAGAACUACACAAGAAUGUUUGUAUGGGUUUUGCCGUAAUGUGGUGAAACUCUAUAGCAAAAAAUAUUUGCGUAAACCAAACGUGUAUGAUGUUCAACAGUUGUACGAAGCUCAUGAAGCACGGCACGGGUUUCCGGGAAUGCUCGGUAGUAUUGAUUGUAUACAUUGGGUGUGGCAUAGAUGCCCGACUGCGUGGCGCGACCAAUAUACUCGCCGGCUAUCCAACCGUGAUACUUGAAGCCGUGGCAUCACAAGAUUUGUGGAUCUGACAUUCUUUCUUUGGUCUCCCUGUUUCACUCAAUGACCUCAAUGUGUUAUACCAAUUGGCGAUCUUUACCGAUGUCGUUAAUGGAACCGGUCCGGACACCCGUUUUACAGUUUCUGAGGUUGAGUAUAGACGUGGGUAUUAUCUUGCUGACGUGAUAUAUCCGUCUUGGUCUACAAUUGUGAAGACUAUUCCACAUCCCGAUGACGAAAAAAGGAAAAAAAUUGCCAAGCGUCAAGAAGCUGCAAGAAAAGACAUCAAACGUGCUUUUGGUGUCUUACGAAAAAAAUGGGCCAUCCUUGAACAACCGGCACGUGCGUUCACACCGAAGAGGUUGCGCCUUUGUAUGUACGCUUGCAUUUUGCUUCAUAACAUGAUUAUUGAAGACGAAGGUCGGGCAAUUUGUGAGUAUAAUGAGAAUGCAUCUAUCGGGAAUACUGUCCCGGUAGAUCCGCCACAACAGGAUUUAAACUCGUUCUCGCUAACGAACGACUUCACGCAUGCAAACCUUCAACAGGAUUUGGUAGAACAUAUUUGGAACAACGUUAACGUAGCGGACGGUGAGGAGGACGAAGACGAAGACGAGUAGUGAAAUGGACGUCGUAGGUUUUUUUUAUUUUUAGGAAAUGUAAUUUUUUUUUCGGUAA